rnacentral:rRNA from 1 species
UACGUAGGGUGCGAGCGUUAAUCGGAAUUACUGGGCGUAAAGCGUGCGCAGGCGGUUUUGUAAGACAGGUGUGAAAUCCCCGGGCUUAACCUGGGAACUGCACUUGUGACUGCAAAGCUGGAGUACGGCAGAGGGGGAUGGAAUUCCGCGUGUAGCAGUGAAAUGCGUAGAUAUGCGGAGGAACACCGAUGGCGAAGGCAAUCCCCUGGGCCUGUACUGACGCUGAGGCACGAAAGCGUGGGGAGCGAACAGG